rnacentral:tRNA from 1 species
GCGUUCAUGGUGUAAUUGGAAGCACACUCGACGUGUAUUCGAGAGGUUCGAGGUUCGAGUCCCGCUGAGGGCA